CCUCACGGUUUACUAUAAGUUGCAUAAACAGUUUGUCGUACACGUUAUGAUCAGUUGUCAGAGAACAAGAAUUUAUAGGUUUCCUAAAAUAGGCAAGUGUCAUCUUUAAAAAAAUUUUAUAGUUUAAGGGUUGAAAAAUCCUUUUGGUAAAAAAAUCGAAAAAAAUGUAGACAAAAAAGAAGAUUGCGACCUUCUCUAUGUCUUAUGGCAACAUAUUUUUGUUGUUGUUGGUGAAACAAAAGACUUUUUAAGUCAGUAGACACAGCCCGGAGAUUUUAACUUUCUCCAACACUUUCUCCAAGACACCGCUGUCGGCGGAGAAUGUUUACUCUACGUGUUGUAGAAUACAGCAAAUAUUACCAUU